UGACUGUCACACACAGCCAGGCCCAUCACACCACCUGAGCUCCUGGGCUACAUCGUUUGUUACCACGUCACUGUGGCACGAAAUUCUAUGAAGACAGACGUGCUUAUCUUCUACCAAGCACCCGGAAGGCUGUGACCCCAAGGCUUGAGCAGCGCCAAGCUUGAAGCAGGUGUUAGAGAUUCAUAGGGACUGAUUCCGGGAGCCUUGAGGGACUGGAGAGAGAUGCUGGUAUAGAUCACGGGUACCGGAUGCAGCAGAGCCAUGCUCGUGCUGGCACGGACAGUGGAAGAAAACACAGGGGCUCCAGGCAGCCUGGGAGCCAAGGGGCUGGGCUGAUGCAAAGGAGACCGCCCAAGCUGGAAGGCGCCAGUCUCCAGGGUGACACUGGUCUCAAAGAGAGAGGACAGAAUGGGCUUUUGUGCGCAGUAGAUGAGGUUGCGGGGAGGUUGUCCCAGGAGAGAGACAGUAGAGGAAGGAAUGAAAGGGACCGUGAAACAUGGCGGAGAUGCCCACUUGAGAACUAGCCGUUUUCAACGGAGGAAAUGAUGGAGCAGACACGUGCGUGCGCAUCUUCAAGAAUCUCUUCUUGUUCUGCAAUGAAGAAAUGAUCCAGGUCGGGAAGCCACUAAGCAGUAUUCCUCUGUGUCUGCUUCAGGUCCUGCCUUCCCUCCAUGAUGGACUGUAAGCUGUGCACUGGAUUAAAGCCCUUCCUCCCCAUGUUGCUUUUGGUCAUCGCAUUUCUCAUGGCAACAGAAACCUAAGUAGAACAUAAUGCCCUAUCUGGGAAAGUAGACAUUUGUUCAUGGCUGA
rnacentral:lncRNA from 1 species